rnacentral:rRNA from 1 species
UACGGGGGGGGCAAGCGUUGUUCGGAAUUACUGGGCGUAAAGGGCGCGUAGGCGGUUCGCUAAGUUGGAUGUGAAAACUCUGGGCUUAACCCAGAGCCUGCAUCCAAAACUGGCAAACUUGAGUACUGGAGGGGAAAGCGGAAUUCCUGGUGUAGCGGUGAAAUGCGUAGAUAUCAGGAGGAACACCGGUGGCGAAGGCGGCUUUCUGGACAGUAACUGACGCUGAUGCGCGAAAGCUAGGGGAGCAAACAGG